rnacentral:rRNA from 1 species
UGGCGGCAUGCCUAAUACAUGCAAGUCGAACGGUGAUGAUGGCUUCGGUCAUCUGAUCAGUGGCGAACGGGUGAGUAACACGUGAGAAACCUGCCUUCGAGUCGAGGAUAACUACUGGAAACGGUAGCUAAAACUGGAUGGAAUAUUUAGAGGCAUCUCUUUAUAUUAAAAAGUCCUUAUGGGAAUGCUUGAAGAUGGUCUUGCGUCGCAUUAGCUAGUUGGUAGGGUAGUGGCCUACCAAGGCGACGAUGCGUAGCUGUGCUGAGAGGCAGAACAGCCACACUGGGACUGAGACACGGCCCAGACUCCUACGGGAGGCAGCAGUAGGGAAUUUUCGGCAAUGGACGAAAGUCUGACCGAGCAAUGCCGCGUGAAUGAUGAAAUUCUUCGGAAUGUAAAAUUCUGUUAUUUGUGAAAGAAAGGUAUUAGUAGGAAAUGACUAGUAUUUGACGGUACCAAAUGAGAAAGCCCCGGCUAACUAUGUG